GGAAUGUGUCAACACUGGGAUGGCACCGGGGAUUAGGAGUGAGGCACGAGGGAUUUGGGGUGAUGCUCUGCUGACUCACAGGGAUCCCUCAGACUGGAGCACUCCCAGGAGCUCAGCACCUUCGCUGCUGUGGGAGGAGAAGGUGGGGACAACUUCCCGCUGGAUUCCUGCAGCCUUUCCUGCUUCCCUCUGCAGAUGUGUGGGGAGAUAACACAGCUCCAGCUCUCCAGGGAGAGAUUCCCUGUCUCAGCUCCUCAGCUCCUUCCCGAGUCUUUCCCUCCAUGGAGUGGCAUAGCCUGGAUAUUUUAUCUGCCCUUCCCACAAAGCCAGACCCAAUCCCAGCCUGGAGCCGCUCGUCUGGCUGGGUUGGCACAGGCUGGGUGAGGGGGCACAGGGAUUGGCACCCCUCGAUGUCCCCAAGCCAGGCUGGAGCCUGUCCCCAACCCCAAUGUUCAUUCCCUGCACCUGCAAUCACCGACCUCACACCUGGCAUUGAGGCUCCUCGUUAUUUUAAUUAAG
rnacentral:lncRNA from 1 species